rnacentral:rRNA from 1 species
GACGAACGCUGGCGGCGUGCUUAACACAUGCAAGUCGAACGGAAAGGCCCUGCUUUUGUGGGGUGCUCGAGUGGCGAACGGGUGAGUAACACGUGAGUAACCUGCCCUUGACUUUGGGAUAACUUCAGGAAACUGGGGCUAAUACCGGAUAGGAGCUCCUGCUGCAUGGUGGGGGUUGGAAAGUUUCGGCGGUUGGGGAUGGACUCGCGGCUUAUCAGCUUGUUGGUGGGGUAGUGGCUUACCAAGGCUUUGACGGGUAGCCGGCCUGAGAGGGUGACCGGCCACAUUGGGACUGAGAUACGGCCCAGACUCCUACGGGAGGCAGUAGUGGGGAAUAUUGCACAAUGGGCGGAAGCCUGAUGCAGCAACGCCGCGUGCGGGAUGACGGCUUUCGGGUUGUAAACCGCUUUCGCCUGUGACGAAGCGUGAGUGACGGUAAUGGGUAAAGAAGCACCGGCUAACUACGUG